GACAGGGGGCUCGAGCGUUAAUCGGAAUCACUGGGCUUAAAGGGCGCGUAGGCGGCACGGCAAGUCAGGAGUGAAAGGCCUGGGCUCAACCGAGGAACUGCUUUUGAGACUGCCGAGCUAGAGUGCGGAAGGGGCAACCGGAAUUCCCAGUGUAGCGGUGAAAUGCGUAGAUAUUGGGAAGAACACCUGAGGCGAAGGCGGGUUGCUGGGCCGACACUGACGCUGAGGCGCGAAAGCCAGGGGAGCAAACGGG
rnacentral:rRNA from 1 species